UACGUAGGGUGCGAGCGUUGUCCGGAAUUAUUGGGCGUAAAGAGCUUGUAGGCGGUUUGUCGCGUCUGCUGUGAAAAUCCGAGGCUCAACCUCGGACUUGCAGUGGGUACGGGCAGACUAGAGUGUGGUAGGGGAGACUGGAAUUCCUGGUGUAGCGGUGGAAUGCGCAGAUAUCAGGAGGAACACCGAUGGCGAAGGCAGGUCUCUGGGCCACUACUGACGCUGGAGAAG
rnacentral:rRNA from 1 species